UUAUAUUAUAAGUAAAAGGGAGGGGGCAUUUCUAUUUGGGGGAUGGACAUAAUUUCAGAUUUUUUGUUUAGGAUUUUUUUUUUAGUUUUCUCCCUAUUUUCUCUCAUAAACUUAAAGUCUUUUCCUCCUCCUUAUUUCUCCAACCCAACAGCCGCCCACCUCCACCAAAUCACCACAACCACCGGACAGCCCCCACAACCCCCCACUUCAUCUCCCUUUCUCCCAAACGUUGCUCCAUCUCCACAACAUCACUAACCAAACAACGCCACCAAAACAGUCCCCCCUUUGUUCUCCUCACAGCUCCGGCGAGGAGCUUCUAGCUCCGAUGAACCGGAGCAACCAUACAGCAACCACCAAUGACACCGCCCCCCCCCCUUUCUUCUUUUCGAUUUUUUUUUUAAUUAUUUUUGUCCUGCUCGGAAUGUUGGAGCAGCCAGCAGCAACCAAACGCCACCACUGUACAGCCCACGCACCACCAUUCACACCCUUUUGCUCCCUCCGUUCUCAUUUCCUUCACGCCAAAACUCCCACCAUCUCCGACGACUCCCGUUUGUUUCGUGUUUUGUACAUUUUUCGUAUACGUAUAAUUGUGUUUGUUUGUUGUGCUACUGUUGGGCUAUUUUUUGCGUUUCCAGGCAAUCUGUUUCGUCCCGUUUCAGAUCUGGCCGGAGUUGAAUUUUCCGGUGACUGUUUGAUUUCUCCGGCCAGCGUUUAAAUGAUUAGUGUCUGCUACUGUUUUUUUUUUUUUCGUUUUUUGGACUGCCAUUCCAAAGCGGUAUACUCCAAAACCAUGCAUCUUAUCCGCAAAAUACUCUCCAGCAUAUGUAUCCCCAUUUCUGCAUAGUCAUGCAAAUCAACAUAUUGAUGAGUUAAUACACAUGCACUGAUAUUCUCCCAAGAAAAGAGAACUAAAGGAAAAGAAAUAGAAGAGUAAGACAAGAUCACUAGAAAGUUGAUAGCUUGUCGUUUUUGGUAUCAUUCUCUGCAUUUAUCAAGAUAAUUAUCACUCACUGUAAGAAUUCGUACUCAAGAGGAAAUUACAGAUACUGAUUCAGUGGCAUCCAGUAGGUCAGCAUAGAAAACGAGCUUUCUUCUUCCAGUAAAAAAAAUAUAAAAGUUUUGCACUUAUUUUUGUUUUAUUUUCCAGCGAUGAGCUUCGUCUUCGCGGGCGAAACUUGCUUCCUUUGCUACUACCCGCUGUUACUGUCGAUAUUUGACUAUUUUACAUUACCUUUUGCCAAAUAAAAUGUUGGUUUUGUGCCCGGAAAAUACUCCCGGCGGCCAAUGACAUUUUUACACCUUUUAUCACUUUUGUUAAACUAAUUUGGGCGAAUACUAAACCCAAAUGGCCGAUGAAGAAAUUUCCGUCGAUUUCCAAGGUCUCCCAUGUACAAAAGACAGGUACCCGGAGAUACAUCCGAAGACGACACUCGGAAGGAACUCGAAGACUUCAUCGAAUCACUGUUUGUAUUUACUUUCUGCUUUUUUUUAUAACUGUACAAAACAUAAACUAUAUAGUAGAAACUUUAUUUUUAGAA